GCUGGGCAUGGUGGCGUGUGCCUGUAAUCCCAGCUACUCGGGAGGCUGAGGCAGGAGAAUUGCUUGAACCCAGGAGGCAGAGGUUGUGGUGAGCCGAGAUCGCGCCAUUGCACUCCAGCCUGGGUAACAAGAGUGAAACUCCUUCUCCAAAAAAAAGAAAAAGGAAAAAAAAGGAAUCAAUCAUGAUUGAGCUCCAAUUAUUUAGUUAGUUCGUUCGUUAGUUUGAGACAGAGUAUGACUCUGUCACCCAGGCUGGAAUGCAAUGGCACUAUCUUGGCUCACUGCAACCUUUACCUCCUGGGUUCAAGCGAUUCUCCUGCCUCA
rnacentral:SRP_RNA from 1 species